CGCUGAAACUCCUGUUCUCAUAUGAUCACCGAAGUUAAACAGUGUCGAGCCUGAUCAGUACUUAAAUAUGGCACUUCUUGGGAACACCAGGUACUGUAAG